rnacentral:rRNA from 1 species
GACGAACGCUGGCGGCGUGCCUAAUACAUGCAGGUAGAACGCACAGUUUAUACCGUAGCUUGCUACACCAUAGACUGUGAGUUGCGAACGGGUGAGUAACGCGUAGGUAACCUGCCUUGUAGCGGGGGAUAACUAUUUGAAACGAUAGCUAAUACCGCAUAAUAUUAAUUAUUGCAUGAUAAUUAAUUGAAAGGUUCAAUUGCACCACUACCAGAUGGACCUUCGUUGUAUUAGCUAGUAGGUGAGGUAACGGCUCACCUAUGCGAAGAUACAUAGCCGAACUGAGAGGGUGGUCGGCAAAAAUGGGAAUGAGACAAGGCACAGAAUCAUACGGGAGGCAGCAGUAGGGAAUCUUCGGCAAUGGACGAAAGUCUGACCGAGCAAAGCCGCGUGAGUGAAGAAGGUUUUCGGAUCGUAAAGCUCUGUUGUAAGAGAAGAACGGGUGUGAGAGUGGAAAGUUCACACUGUGACGGUAACUUACAAGAAAGGGACGGCUAACUACGUG